rnacentral:rRNA from 1 species
AUUGAACGCUGGCGGCAGGCCUAACACAUGCAAGUCGAACGCGUGGCGGACGGGUGAGUAAUGUCUGGGAACCUGCCUGAUGGAGGGGGAUAACUACUGGAAACGGGAGCUACUACCGCAUACCAUCAGCUGUGCCCAGCUGGGAUUAGCUUGUUGGUGGGGUAACGGCUCACCAAGGCGACGAUCCCUAGCUGGUAUGAGAGGAAGACCAGACACUCUGUGACUGAGACACGGUCCCGCCUCCUACGGUAGGCAGCAGUGGGGAAUAUUGCACAAUGGGCGCAAGCCUGCUGCAGCCAUGCCGCGUGUAUGAAGAAGGCCUUCGGGUUGUAAAGUACUUUCAGCGGGGAGGCGUUACCCGCAGAAGAAGCACCGGCUAACUCCGUGCCAGCAGCCGCGGUAAUUC